rnacentral:rRNA from 1 species
GACGAACGCUGGCGGCGUGCUUAACACAUGCAAGUCGAACGCUGAAGCUUGGUGCUUGCACUGGGUGGAUGAGUGGCGAACGGGUGAGUAAUACGUGAGUAACCUGCCCUUGACUCUGGGAUAAGCCUGGGAAACUGGGUCUAAUACUGGAUACGACAUGUCACCGCAUGGUGGUGUGUGGAAAGGGUUUUACUGGUUUUGGAUGGGCUCACGGCCUAUCAGCUUGUUGGUGGGGUAAUGGCUCACCAAGGCGACGACGGGUAGCCGGCCCGAGAGGGUGACCGGCCACACUGGGACUGAGACACGGCCCAGACUCCUACGGGAGGCAGCAGUGGGGAAUAUUGCACAAUGGGCGGAAGCCUGAUGCAGCGACGCCGCGUGAGGGAUGACGGCCUUCGGGUCGUAAACCUCUUUCAGCACGGAAGAAGCGAAAGUGACGGUACGUGCAGAAGAAGCGCCGGCUAACUACGUG